AUUCGUUGAUAAGCAUCUCCCUCCAUGGACUUGGAAACUUUGUGAAAAAGAGGUCCUUGGCGGUUUGAUCAUCAACUACCCCCAUAUGAACAUAUAGGGUAUAAAGACGUAGAAAUUCAUCAAGAGCUUUUGGCUCUAGCACCACUAAUCUUAGAUUGUAGAGUGCCUGAUGAUAUUUCUUGCGUUUCUCCUCUGCGGAUCCUUCGAAAAAACCCAUUCCCAAGAAAUGGAU
rnacentral:lncRNA from 1 species